rnacentral:rRNA from 1 species
GAUGAACGCUGGCGGCGUGCCUAAUACAUGCAAGUCGAGCGAACAGAUGAGGAGCUUGCUCCUCUGACGUUAGCGGCGGACGGGUGAGUAACACGUGGAUAACCUACCUAUAAGACUGGGAUAACUUCGGGAAACCGGAGCUAAUACCGGAUAAUAUAUUGAACCGCAUGGUUCAAUAGUGAAAGACGGUUUUGCUGCCACUUAUAGAUGGAUCCGCGCCGCAUUAGCUAGUUGGUAAGGUAACGGCUUACCAAGGCAACGAUGCGUAGCCGACCUGAGAGGGUGAUCGGCCACACUGGAACGGAGACACGGUCCAGACGCCUACGGGAGGCAGCAGUAGGGAAUCUUCCGCAAUGGGCGAAAGCCUGACGGAGCAACGCCGCGUGAGUGAUGAAGGUCUUCGGAUCGUAAAACUCUGUUAUUAGUGAAGAACAAAUGUGUAAGUAACUAUGCACGUCUUGACGGUACCUAAUCAGAAAGCCACGGCUAACUACGUG